rnacentral:lncRNA from 1 species
UUCAAUUUGUUUAAGAGUUCAUCUCAACGAAUCCUUCGAUCUGUUCAAGAAAUCAUCUUGACAUCAUUCAAGACUUCGAUCGACGACUCAUUCGAUCUGUUCUUUGGCUUUGGCUCUUCGAUCUGUUCUUUGGUUCGUCGAUCUGUUCAUCGGCUCUUCAACCUGUUAAUUUUAAGAAUACAUUGUGCUCUCUCUACUUUUUUCCCUUUCAUUAGUGUUGGAUGAUUUCUAUUCUGUGCCAUUUUGUCUAUAUCUAAAACUUUUUAGUUAUUUACAAACGCAAAUCAAGUGAUGAGAUUAACAGAAUACAAGGUUAUGGAUCUAGUAUCUCCACCUUUUAAAUAAUAUUAUAAUAUUAAAAGCAAAAGAAUAGAAAGAUCGGAUGUAUAUCUGAUGAACAGAUGAAGCCAUUGAUAUAAAUGUAACAUUUUAUUUUUUGGAGUUACGGAUAUACGGAUUCGGAUAGUAAAAAAUAACUAUCCGAAAUUUCGGAUAUCCGAAAUUCGGAUAUCCGAAUUUUCGGAUAUCCGGUUUUGAACACCCCUAGUAAAAUGUUCUUGUAGAGUAAUUUGAUCAAAAAACUAUACCUAACCAACCCCCCCCCCCCCCCCCAAAAAAAAAAAAAACCUACCCCCUCACCCAAACUAAAAGCCAAAAACGGGUCAAGUUAUUCUACAAAGGCUUCUAAUUGUAAGAAGUGUAAGAAGGAUUUAUAGAGUGACAAGUGUCCAAUAAGCUAAAACUAAACUCACUACAUCACCACCAAAAACCUAAACACCCACCCCCACCCCACCACCACCCAAAAACCUAACCCCCCCCCCCCCCCCAAAAAAAAAAAAAAAAAAAAAACCUAAAACAAUCUAAAAAAAACUAAACACCCACCCCCACCCAAAAACCUAAACCCCCACCCCCUCGGCAAAAAAAAAAAAAAUUGGGUGGGUGAUGGGGGGGGGGGUUAGGUUUUUGGUGGUGGUGGAUGUUUAAGGUUAUUGGACACUUGUUACUCUAUAAAUCCUUCUUACACUUCUUACAAUUAGGAUCCUUUGUAUUUGAUCCUAAUCCAAAAACUAAACCAUAA